CAAGGAAGAAGGAACCAGAAGGAACCCUCAGAGGAACCCCAGGGCACCAUCUGAGAUGAAGCUAUGCAAAGCUUCUCAGCAUGAAACCUGGCAUACAAGAGCUUGGCCUCCAAGAGAUGUUUUUAAAGCUAAUUGUCGGGAAUGGAGUUAUGUUCUGUGAAGAAGCCAUAAACACUGAAUUAGUGAAUAGUGAACCGUUUUUCCUAGGGGAAAUACAAG